rnacentral:rRNA from 1 species
UACGAAGGGGGCUAGCGUUGCUCGGAAUCACUGGGCGUAAAGCGCACGUAGGCGGCUUUGUAAGUUAGAGGUGAAAUCCUGGAGCUCAACUCCAGAACUGCCUUUGAUACUGAAGAUCUUGAGUCCGGGAGAGGUGAGUGGAACUGCGAGUGUAGAGGUGAAAUUCGUAGAUAUUCGCAAGAACACCAGUGGCGAAGGCGGCUCACUGGCCCGGUACUGACGCUGAGGCACGAAAGCGUGGGGAGCAAACAGG